UUCAGCCUCCGUAGGGUCUCCAAGAGAGUGGGAAAGGCUGUUUUCGCCGUUCCCAGAUACACAGAGAGGAUCUGGAACCAGCCCUGGCCGAAACGGCCAUGCAGGUCAGUCUCCAUCAACUGGAUGAGGAAGAGCCUGCAAAGGGAGGCUGUGGGAGGAUUGCCAUCCUUUGCGCUGCCAACAAACAUGGCAGCCUACACGGGUGUAUGGAAGCUGGGCCCAUCCCUCUCCAUCAGCAAGUCUUUCAUUGAUGAAGCAUGCCAGAGCACAUCCAUCUCAAAAACUGUGUCCGGAGAAGAAGGAAAACACUAUUUUAAAACUGGAACGGCUGGGCUGGGAAUGAGACAAAAACAACUUGAUGAGGGAAUGCCG